GAUGAACGCUGGCGGUGUGCCUAAUACAUGCAAGUCGAGCGAACAGACGAGGAGCUUGCUCCUCUGACGUUAGCGGCGGACGGGUGAGUAACACGUGGAUAACCUACCUAUAAGACUGGGAUAACUUCGGGAAACCGGAGCUAAUACCGGAUAAUAUAUUGAACCGCAUGGUUCAAUAGUGAAAGACGGUUUUGCUGUCACUUAUAGAUGGAUCCGCGCCGCAUUAGCUAGUUGGUAAGGUAACGGCUUACCAAGGCAACGAUGGGUAGCCAACCUGAGAGGGUGAUCGGCCACACUAAAACUAAGGCUCGGUCCAGACUCCUACGGGAGGCGGCAGUAGGGAAUCUUCCGCAAUGGGCGAAAGCCUGACGGAACAACGCCGCGUCAGUGAAGAAGGUCUUCUGAUCGUAAAACUCUGUUAUUGGGGAAAAACCAAUGUGUAAGUAACUAUGCACGUCUUGACGGUACCUAAUCAGAAAGCUACGACUAACUACAUG
rnacentral:rRNA from 1 species